GGCUUCGAUGGACGGAAUGGAGAAAAGGGUGAAACGGGUGCUCCUGGAUUAAAGGGUGAAAACGGCCUUCCUGGUGAAAACGGAGCUCCGGGGCCCAUGGGUCCCCGAGGGUCUCCUGGGGAGAGAGGCCGGCCGGGACUCCCUGGAGCCGCUGGGGCUCGGGGUAAUGAUGGUGCUCGAGGAAGUGACGGACAACCGG